AGUGAACGCUGGCGGCAGGCCUAACACAUGCAAGUCGAGCGGCAGCGGGGUCCCCGCGAGGGGAGUGCCGGCGAGCGGCGGACGGGUGAGGAACACAUCGGAAUCUGCCUGGUUGUGGGGAGUAACGUAGGGAAACUUACGCUAAUACCGCAUGCGACCCUGAGUCGACGGACUGGGGUGGAAAGUGAGGGACCUUCGGGCCGUCACGCGACCAGAUGAGCCGAUGUCGGAUUAGCUAGUUGGCGGGGUAACGGCCCGCCAACGGCGACGAUCCGUAGCUGGUCUGAGAGGAUGAUCAGCC
rnacentral:rRNA from 1 species